AUUGAACGCUGGCGGCAGGCUUAACACAUGCAAGUCGAGCGGAGUGAUGGUGCUUGCACUAUCACUUAGCGGCGGACGGGUGAGUAAUGCUUAGGAAUCUGCCAUUUAGUGGGGGACAACAUUCCGAAAGGAAUGCUAAUACCGCAUACGUCCUACGGGAGAAAGCAGGGGAUCUUCGGACCUUGCGCUAAAUGAUGAGCCUAAGUCGGAUUAGCUAGUUGGGGGGGUAAAGGCCUACCAAGGCGACGAUCUGUAGCGGGUCUGAGAGGAUGAUCCGCCACACUGGGACGAAGACACGGCCCAGACUACUACGGGAGGCAGCAGUGGGGAUUAUUGGACAAUGGGCGGAAGCCUGAUCCAGCCAUGCCGCGUGUGUGAAGAAGGCCUUUUGGUUGUAAAGCACUUUAAGCGAGGAGGAGGCUCUCCUAGUUAAUACCUAGGAAGAGUGGACGUUACUCGCAGAAUAAGCACCGGCUAACUCUGUGCCAGCCGCCGCGGUAAGAC
rnacentral:rRNA from 1 species